rnacentral:rRNA from 1 species
UACGAAGGGGGCUAGCGUUGCUCGGAAUCACUGGGCGUAAAGGGUGCGUAGGCGGUUUGGUAAGUCUCGUGUGAAAUCUCCGGGCUCAACUCGGAGCCUGCACGAGAAACUGCCGGGCUUGAGUGUGGGAGAGGUGAGUGGAAUUCCUGGUGUAGCGGUGAAAAUGCGUAGAUAUCAGGAGGAACACCUGUGGCGAAAGCGGCUCACUGGACCAUAACUGACGCUGAUGCACGAAAGCUAGGGGAGCAAACAGG